CGAAAGUUAGCUCGCUGGUAGAGCGAUCGGUGUAUCGCCGAUUUGUAGUAGGUUCGAUUCCUACACUUUCCAACA
rnacentral:tRNA from 1 species